GGCGCUGGCGGGCGGCGGCGGCGGGCGGCGGCGGAGGCAGCGGCCGCCUCGGCGCUCGGUGGCUGCGCUCCGCUCCCUGGUGUGUUGAUUCUUCCCCCAGCUGCUGCCUAAUGGAGUCCAGGCGCUCGCGUCACAGGAAAUGCCUAUACUGCCCUCCUCACUCACUUCCGGUGGCAGAGACCUAGAAGCUUGGGGAUCUCGUGAGACACUGACCUGUGGCAUCUGUCUGGGCCUUAGUGUAACCCUGUCACGUGAGUGGCCUCAUGAAGGAGACUAGACUAUUCAUGGGCUUGGGAGGCUCGUUGACUUACCAGGAAUCCAGUGGGUCCAGGAUGAUCCAGGAGGGGAGGCUUCCUUGAGAGAGAGCGGGAGCAAGGUAGAGGGGAAGAGGGAGAAACAAAGAGAAUUCCAAGCAGUCUCCACACUGUCAGCACAGAGCCCCAUUCGGAACUCGAACCCACAACCUUGGGAUCAUGAGCUGAGCCGAAACCAAGAGUCAACGCUCAACUAACUGAGCCAUCCAGGCGCCCUAAAAUGGGAGAAAAAAAAGGAACAAUUUUCAUAAAAUCAAGUAAGCCAUGGUAACUUGAAAAACGUCGGGAAUCACCGGUUUACGAGUUAUGCGUGAACGGAAGAAUAACCGUCACAGCCCCAGCUGGCCGCUUCAUGCCAAUGGCAGCAAAUAAGGUCAACUCGAGAAAGGUCACUUAAGUGUUUGGACGUCCUGAGGGAACAUCCGUAUCCUAUCUCGACGCUGUUUGUCUCUCUCCGUCUCCACCACCGUCACCUCUGAUCCAGCCCGGUGCCACCAUGCAGACGAAACUUCCGUCACGCCUGUCUUCAGUCACAGGCAUAAAUAACCCGCCACGGGGAGGCUGGAAACUAUUUGAGAGCCAACAGCGUGAGGAGCUCCAUUGGGAGAAUCAUGUCUGUGCCCCAGAUUUCUAGCUCUCUGCUCAGCUCCCACCUGGGGUCUGCCUGAGUGACGUGCCCUCGCCUUGUCCCGAGAACCCUGGUGGAAGAAGCGUCUCUGUCUGCUCUGGCACUCACUCACUUGGGAAAGAUGUGAUAAUGAUUGUGGGUUCGCGUUCCCACAGCGGAGCCACGUUUCCACGAACAGCAUACUCAGUCGACACUUACUAUGUGCCGGGCACGGUUAUGAGCACUUUACAUGUAUUAGCUCCGUUAAUUCUCCCAACCUUUUCAAGUGGGUCCUUAUUGGGCUCCCGAUGUUACACGUGAGGAAAAUGAGACUCAGAGAGGUUGAUCCACUUGCCUCAGGAUGCACAGUGAGGUCCGGGAGCAAUGGUUUGCACUGGGGCAGUCUGACUGUGGGCCCUACACUCACGAUCACAGAGGCGUGACCUCCAAAUGCAGUUAGGAUUUAUUUAUUUACUUAUCUUGAAGAAUUCUGAGGUUGGUUUUUAUAUAAAAUCAUGCUAUUGAAAUUUCUUUUUUUUCACAGUUCAAAAGCAUCUUUAUUCAAGGAACUUUUACAUCGUUAAACUAUCAGAGAAAUCCACAACCAAAUAUAAUAAACUGUUAGCUCUUUGAAAGUAGUCACCCAUUUUAUUUUUCUUUUGUUAUCCAGGAUCCCAAUAGAUGGUCUGGAAUGCAUUUAAUUAUGCAUUCAACAACCAUGAAUUUGUGACUAUUAUAUGCUAUUCCAGGGCUUGGAGAUAAAUAAAUAUCACAGUUCGCUUUUUAUGAUGAGCUACGUAGAAAAAGCUGUGGGACAAUGUAGGAUAGUCCCUUUGUCUAACCUGGUGAAUGACAAAAGAUUUCCCAGAAGAGAGGAUUCCUGAGCUGAGCUUUGAAAGGGGGUAGGAAUAUGGGAUGCACAGGAGAGGGAAAAGUCAAGGGUCAAGGGAAGAAAUAGUGCUUAGAGAAGGAAAAGAGGCAAGAGAAGAGGAAUGCCUUGGAGGUUAGGAUGUCACACAAUAACAUGAUAAAUAAAAUAUUCUC